UGACGUGUUACGCCUCUUCUAAUGACAUUUUUUUCUUUUUCUUUUCUGUACGAGCGAGAGGAGAGACCCUGCAACACACGCCACCUAUCUUUGUGGGGAGGGAUAAUUGGAGAGCACCAAACAUAUGGAUCAGGGGUGAGAUGGGCUCUUUUCCUGGCUCUGCUUUUUCUUGGAAGUAGCUGGAUGAGCAGAGAGAGACAGCGUGGACGAGUAACGCGUGGGGCUGAACUUUAGGGAGGUUACAAGUUUUUCACUUUUUUCAAGUAUUAAAAUUAAAAUAAAAUUGCAUAUAGAAAAAAAAAAAAGAAGAGAAAGGAAAAAAAAAAAAGAAGCCUAGACUCCACCUUUGCACUGAAGGGAUUGGUUAUGCAAAUAUGGAAGGGGUUUCCUGGCAAAUACAGCUUUCUACUGUAUGGUUAAUUAAAUCAUCACUCAAAAGC